CUCACUUCAGCUGCUGCCCGCUCUCCCGCUUGCAGAGUCCCGGUGUGGCGAAUCAUGCGAGGUUUGAGCCAGGACAUGGAAGCAACCUGUGUGUCCAUUGACAGAUGAAUGGAUAAAGAAGAUGUGGCACAAUUAUACAAUGGAAUACUACUCAGCCAUAAAAAGAAACGAAAUUGAGUUAUUUGUAGUGAGGUGGAUGGACCUGAGACUGUCAUACAGAGAGAAAUCAUUACCAUCUAUGUCGGGGUUCCCCAACCCCUGGGGUACCAGUCCACAGCCUGUUAGGAACCAGGCCACACAGCAGGAGGAGAUGAGCGGCUGGAGAGCAAGCAAAGCUUCAUCUGCCGCUCCCCCAUCGCGAUCCCGAACCAUCCCCCCGCCCCGUCCCCGUAAGUGGAAAAAUUGUCUCCCACAAAACCGAUCCCUGGUGCCAAAAAGGUUGGAGACCGCUGAUCUAUGUUAUUUUUCUGUUUCCAUCAUUACCUCACUCUUGUUUUGUCACAAUAUAGAGACAGAGUGGUCCUGUUAAAAUGUGAAUCAGAGCAUCCUGAUUAUCCUCAUCUGUUUCUCAGAAAGAGAUCAACAUAAUCUCAAUACUUAUGUCUGGACCACACAUACAUAUUUGAAUGCGUACACACACAUACACACACACACACACACACACACACACACACGUUUUACAGAUUGAACUUCUGUUAUUCAUUCAUUAUAUGUUCAAAAUUUUACCAUCCAGGUUGCCCUCCUAAUAAUUUCCCUUCAUUAUGAGUCACUCACAUGGAACGUAAUUGUUUACAUGUGAUCCUAAAAUUAUGCCAUCUAUUACCUCCCCUGUUCUGUACAUGGAAUUUCUGAUAGCACUCUCUUCGACUGCAUUGCCAUUUUUGACUAUCAUGUUCUUUGCAAUGCGUCAAACUUUUAGUCAAGUAAGACUUUUAGCAUUUAAAAAAAAUAUAAAUUCCUACUCAGUCCACUCAUCCUAUUCUUGAUUAUGGAUAAUAUUAACCCAAAUACAAAAGUUUUCAUGCAUCACUA